CCUACGGGAGGCAGCAGUGGGGAAUAUUGCACAAUGGGCGCAAGCCUGAUGCAGCCAUGCCGCGUGUGUGAAGAAGGCCUUCGGGUUGUAAAGCACUUUCAGCGGGGAGGAAGGCGUUGAGGUUAAUAACCUUGGCGAUUGACGUUACCCGCAGAAGAAGCACCGGCUAACUCCGUGCCAGCAGCCGCGGUAAU
rnacentral:rRNA from 1 species